GCCAAUGUGGCCUAGUGGUUUCAGUGUUGGACUGUGACCCUAGAGACCAGGGUUUGAUUCCCCGCUUGGCCA